rnacentral:rRNA from 1 species
GACGAACGCUGGCGGCGUGCUUAACACAUGCAAGUCGAACGGUGACCUCGAGAGCUUGCUCUCGAGUGAUCAGUGGCGAACGGGUGAGUAACACGUGAGUAACCUGCCCCAGACUCUGGAAUAACCCCGGGAAACCGGAGCUAAUACCGGAUACGAGACGGAGUCGCAUGGCUACCGUCUGGAAAGUUUUUCGGUCUGGGAUGGACUCGCGGCCUAUCAGCUUGUUGGUGAGGUAACGGCUCACCAAGGCGACGACGGGUAGCCGGCCUGAGAGGGCGACCGGCCACACUGGGACUGAGACACGGCCCAGACUCCUACGGGAGGCAGCAGUGGGGAAUAUUGCACAAUGGGCGAAAGCCUGAUGCAGCGACGCCGCGUGAGGGAUGACGGCCUUCGGGUUGUAAACCUCUUUCAGCAGGGAAGAAGCGAAAGUGACGGUACCUGCAGAAGAAGCACCGGCUAACUACGUGCCAGCCGCCGCGGUAAGAC